rnacentral:misc_RNA from 1 species
GAUGAAGAACGUAGCGAAAUGCGCUACGUAGUGUGAAUUGCAGAAUUCAGUGAAUCAUCGAAUCUUUGAACGCACAUUGCACCUCUCGGUAUUCCGGGAGGUAUGCCUGUUCGAGCGUCAUUUGUACCCUCAAGCUCUGCUUGGUGUUGGGUGUUUGUUCCGCCUCUGUGUGUGAACUCGCCUCAAAACAAUUGGCAGCCGGCGUACUUGUUUCGGAGCGCAGCACAUUUUGCGAUCCAGAUCAACGUACAGCGGCAUCCAAGAAGCCUUAUUUAACGCUCUUGACCUCGGAUCAGGUAGGGAUACCCGCUGAACUUAAGCAUAUCAAUAAGCGGAGGA